rnacentral:rRNA from 1 species
UACGUAGGGGGCAAGCGUUUGUCCGGAAUCAUUGGGCGUAAAGAGCGUGUAGGCGGCCCGGUAAGUCCGCUGUGAAAGUCCAGGGCUCAACCCUGGAAUGCCGGUGGAAACUGUCGGGCUAGAGUCCGGAAGAGGCGAGUGGAAUCCUGGUGUAGCGGUGAAAUGCGCAGAUAUCAGGAGGAACACCUGUGGCGAAGGCGGUGCCUGGGCGUUGCUGACGCUGAGUGCGACGAAGCGUGGGGAGCGAUCCGG